rnacentral:lncRNA from 1 species
GUGAAUUUUUGUUUGAAGAAAGAGAACUGCAGAGCGAGGAGAGCGAAGGCUGUGGCUCCUGUGUCUGCCAGAGAAUCGUCUUAGAAGAAACCCUCCAGCUCCUACCUGUUACCUUGUGCAGAUAGAAAGGUCCUCAGGAGUCCAUCAGGGGGACAGAUGAAGACUGCUCGGCAGGAAGCUGGUGGAAACUUCUAAGGUAGAAAUGCUGGCAGAAAUUAAGAAGUCGAAACUAUGAACAUGGUUGUCAGUGGCAUUUAUAAGCAAUCUUAUUUUAGAAAACUUGAGUAAAAGUCUUGUGUGAUUUUUGGCCGGGCCCUCUGGUAGCUGCUGGGUGACUGCAGGAGCUGGGCCAGCAGUCAGGGAGGACAGGUCUGCAUGUGGAGAGAAGCUGGGCUGUGGGUGCCCAGGCUGGGCAGCUGCAUGACGUGUGGAGGUUUCCAGUGGUCAUGAGCAUGACUAGACAGUGUACAGCCUCUCCCAUGAGGCUGCGGUCAAAUCAGGACUGGAUUCCAAACUGGAGCCUGAUGGAGGAAUGAACUAAACUGCAAGGGUGGCUGCUGGCACAGAGCUCCUCAAGAUGUUGACAGAGGGAGAAAUGUGGU